rnacentral:rRNA from 1 species
CCUACGGGAGGCUGCAGUGGGGAAUAUUGCACAAUGGGGGAAACCCUGAUGCAGCGACGCCGCGUGAGUGAAGAAGUCUUUCGGUAUGUAAAGCUCUAUCAGCAGGGAAGAAAAUGACGGUACCUGAUUAAGAAGCCCCGGCUAACUACGUGCCAGCAGCCGCGGUAAUACGUAGGGGGCAAGCGUGAUCCGGAUUUAAUGGGUGGAAAGGGAGCGUAGACGGCAGCACAAGUCUGGAGUGAAAUGCCGGGGCUUAACCCCGGAACUGCUAUGGAAACUGUGCAGCUAGAGUGCAGGAGAGGUAAGUAGAAUUCCUGGUGUAGCGGUGAAAUGCGUAGAUAUUAGGAGGAACACCAGUGGCGAAGGCGGCUUACUGGACUGAAACUGACGUUGAGGCGCGAAAGCGUGGGUAGCAAACAGGAUUAGAUACCCCAGUAGUC